AUUGAGCGCUGGCGGCAGCCUUAACACAUGCAGGUCGAGCGAGCGGAGGACGGGUGAGUAAUAUCUGGGAAACUGCCUGAUGGAGGGGGAGAACGACUGGAGACGGUAGCUAAUACCGCAUACCAUCAGAUGUGCCCAGAGGGGAUUAGCUGGUAGGUGGGGUAAUGGCGCACCUAGGCGGCGAUCCCUAGCUGGUCUGAGAGGAUGACCAGACUAACUGGAACUGAGACACGGUCCAGACGCCUCCGGGAGGCAGCAGUGGGUAACAUUGCACAAUGGGCGCAAGCCGGAUGCAGCCAUGCCGCGGGUAUGAAGAAGGCCUUCGGGUUGUAAAGUACUUUCAGCGGGGAGGCGUUACCCGCAGAAGAAGCACCGGCUAACGCCGUGCCAGCAGCCGCGGUAAUUC
rnacentral:rRNA from 1 species